rnacentral:rRNA from 1 species
AGAGUUUGAUCCUGGCUCAGGAUGAACGCUAGCGGCAGGCCUAAUACAUGCNAGUCGAGGGGCAGCGGGGUAGCAAUACUGCCGGCGACCGGCGCACGGGUGCGUAACACGUAUGCAACCUACCUUAAACUGGGGGAUAGCCCGGGGAAACUCGGAUUAAUACCCCAUAACACAGCGAUCUCUCAUGAGGAUGUUGUUAAAGAUUUAUCGGUUUAAGAUGGGCAUGCGUUCGAUUAGCUAGUUGGCGAGGUAACGGCUCACCAAGGCUACGAUCGAUAGGGGGUCUGAGAGGAUGAUCCCCCACACUGGUACUGAGAUACGGACCAGACUCCUACGGGAGGCAGCAGUAGGGAAUAUUGGUCAAUGGAGGCAACUCUGAACCAGCCAUGCCGCGUGUAGGAAGAAGGCGUUCUGCGUUGUAAACUACUUUUGAUUGGGAACAAAUGACUCUUGCGAGAGUAGCUGAGUGUACCAAUAGAAUAAGCCACGGCUAACUACGUGCCAGCAGCCGCGGUAAUACGUAGGUGGCAAGCGUUGUCCGGAUUUAUUGGGUUUAAAGGGUGCGUAGGCGGCUUGAUAAGUCAGUGGUGAAAGCCGAUCGCUUAACGAUCGAACUGCCAUUGAUACUACCAGGCUUGAGUAUAGAUGAGGUAGGCGGAAUUGACAGUGUAGCGGUGAAAUGCAUAGAUNUUGUCCANGAACACCAAUUGCGA